rnacentral:rRNA from 1 species
UACGUAGGGGGCUAGCGUUGUCCGGAAUCAUUGGGCGUAAAGCGCGCGUAGGCGGCCAGAUAAGUCCGGUGUGAAAGUCACAGGCUCAACCUGUGAAUGCCGCUGGAAACUGUCUGGCUAGAGUCCGGAAGGGGCGAGUGGAAUUCCUGGUGUAGCGGUGAAAUGCGCAGAUAUCAGGAGGAACACCAAUGGCGAAGGCAGCUCGCUGGAACGGUACUGACGCUGAGGCACGAAAGCGUGGGGAGCGAACAGG